CACCAGCUAGAGUUAAAUCAAAAGACAUUGGAGCAGACGAUUAAUAUCAAAGAUAUCGUAUGAAGAUUAAUAUUGGAAUCCUGAUAUCACACAUUAAAGAAAUGUAUUUUUCAAAAUGUUUAUUGAUGAUCUGUCCUUAUUUCAUAUAAAGUUGGAUAGCUAGCUGGUUUUCUUUUUGACAUGUCACAUGUGCUUAAGGAGAUGCUGGUUCCAGUGGAAUGUAAGGGAGUGAGGUGAUAUGUGAGGGUUCCUAAGACAGACCCCAAGUAUGAUUACACUGAAUUCAUCCAAGCAGCUCAGUUAAGACAGAAUCUCAGGACUAUUUCAUUUCUGUUGUUGUGGAUAGUUCAUUUGUAAUCAGAUGGGCUACAUUUAGGUAGGCUUAAUGUCUUGCAGUGGAAUUCAAUCUUGCGCUCUUGUGAGUGUCUCAGGUCAGUCCAAUGGUAGCUAACGUGCCCAUUUUUUCUCAGUUUCAGAAAAAUUCAAUCUGCCACCAGAGAUCCACGUGGACUUAAAGGACUCUUCAGGAAUUGAAGAUGAUGCAGACAUCUUUGAUGAGCUUAUGACGUCAAGUGAAGUAUCCUUCAAAGUCUUCAGUGGAGAACAAUCUGCCAUGGAAGCAAGGUGCUUCAAAUCAAGCCGAGGCUGACCGAAGUGCACAACAGUCGUCAUCACAUACCGUGGAUAUGAGACCCCAGGAAGCAGUAGUAAUAUCUGCUAUAGGAACUACACUGAGGUAUUUGCACCAAUCCCUCUCAGUGAUGACAGCAGUGUUGAAGACACAGAAGAAAC